rnacentral:lncRNA from 1 species
AAUACAAUAUACCUGGUAGGUCAGUGGGCCCACAAACCGGUAAUUAGCAACAGCCCCUUUAUAGAUAAGGAGAGCCCUUCCGAUGCAGUAACACUACGCUAAACGUCUAAAGUUAACUUGUACAGUUCACCUCCUCCUCAAGGAGGAGAUGUUUAAUCACAUCCACUGUAUUUUGUUGAUUUAAUAGGAAUAAGGAAAUAAGUAAGAAUUAUGAGGAAAACCCACCAUCUGAAAGGCCAAAACAUUUUCUUCUUGUGAAACCACUCUAAAGGUAUUCUGCUUUAGCUGAAUCACCGGGAAGAAGUCUAAUUCCCUCCCUGUCUGCCUUCUUGGGGACACUAUUCAUAUGAAUCACAACUUUACAUAAGUGGACAGCCCUCACCCACCUGUGGAAACUGUAGAAGACAAGAAGUCAAACAACUAUCAAGGGGAAAAAGAAAAUAAGAUUUUGGCAUUUGAUUUCUAACAAGAUGCCACAUCUUGCCACCUCAGCUGUUCUCUGGAACAGAAGUCGUUUAUCCCCAUCCGC